UACGUAGGGUGCAAGCGUUAAUCGGAAUUACUGGGCGUAAAGCGUGCGCAGGCGGCUUUGCAAGACAGAUGUGAAAUCCCCGGGCUCAACCUGGGAACUGCAUUUGUGACUGCAUCGCUGGAGUGCGGCAGAGGGGGAUGGAAUUCCGCGUGUAGCAGUGAAAUGCGUAGAUAUGCGGAGGAACACCGAUGGCGAAGGCAAUCCCCUGGGCCUGCACUGACGCUCAUGCACGAAAGCGGUGGGGAGCAAACAGG
rnacentral:rRNA from 1 species